GGGGAUGUGGCUCAGUGGUAGAGUGCUUGCCUAGCAUGCACAAGGCUCUGAGUUCAAUCUCCAGUAACACCA
rnacentral:tRNA from 1 species